rnacentral:tRNA from 1 species
GAGGAUUUAGCUCAGUGGUAGAGCGCUUGCCUAGCAAGCAUAAGGCCCUGGGUUCGGUCCUCAGCUCC